rnacentral:rRNA from 1 species
AGUGGGGAAUAUUGCACAAUGGGCGCAAGCCUGAUGCAGCGACGCCGCGUGAGGGAUGACGGCCUUCGGGUUGUAAACCUCUUUCAGCAGGGAAGAAGCGAGAGUGACGGUACCUGCAGAAGAAGCACCGGCUAACUACGUGCCAGCAGCCGCGGUAAUACGUAGGGUGCGAGCGUUGUCCGGAAUUAUUGGGCGUAAAGAGCUCGUAGGCGGCUUGUCGCGUCGGAUGUGAAAGCCCGGGGCUUAACCCCGGGUCUGCAUUCGAUACGGGCAGGCUAGAGUUCGGCAGGGGAGAUUGGAAUUCCUGGUGUAGCGGUGAAAUGCGCAGAUAUCAGGAGGAACACCGGUGGCGAAGGCGGAUCUCUGGGCCGAUACUGACGCUGAGGAGCGAAAGCGUGGGGAGCGAACAGGAUUAGAUACCCUGGUAGUCCACGCCGUAAACGUUGGGCACUAGGUGUGGGCGGCAUUCCACGUCGUCCGUGCCGCAGCUAACGCAUUAAGUGCCCCGCC